rnacentral:lncRNA from 1 species
GAGCAUGAGCUGAGUCAUAUUUAAGUAAGGAGCAUGAGCUGUAAGUCUAAUAUGUAAUAUAAUACACGAAGCACAACUAUUGAACUAGGCUGUCUAGGAAAUGUCAGAUGGUUAUAAGCCUAGCCAAGCAAAACAAACUUUAGUCUAAGCUCUUUCAAUUCCUUAAGUCAUCCGUUUAUACCAAGUUUUAUACACAAAUCUCUUAAGCUUUUUUUUUUUUUUGCUAGAUAAUCUCUUAAGUAAUACCUUCUUCUAAGCAUCAAACGUUUUACCAAGUUUGAAGAAUUUACUAAGCAAAUGAGUUUAAACUGAAAUUAAAGAAGGAACCUUGCAAAGUAAUUGCAAAGGAAAAAGUUAAAUCACACCAUUGAAGUGAAUUCAAGCUAACAACCAAGAAAGGUACCAAACUUACUUUUUCUUUUGUUUAUAAUGAGAAAUUUAUUGUUAAUUUUUGAAGUUGGUUGUGAAAUUGGUGGUGGGAGGAUUGGAAAUUAUGGGAACAAUGAUGGGUUCAGUUGGUAUAAGGAGAUGGCAUGUUAUGUCUCUAAAUUUUAUGAAAUCUAAGCUUUUGAAACUGUGUAUGCUAUGUGUUUGACAAAAUGACUCAGUGAGGUCAUGUUUCUAAGUGUGUGAACUGUGGAGUGAUCAUGAUUUGAUUAUUUCUCUCCCUGUUUUGUGGAUUCUGUAAAGGGCGUAUAAUAUAAACAUAAUUAUCA